AGUGACUAUAGUAUGUGUGGGGAAUAGUGAGGGAGUCAGUAUAAAGAUGAAAACAGUAGGCACCCAUGGGAGGAUCUUUCAGAACACUACUGCAUCAACAGCAUCUGGACUUAAGAAAAUCUGAAUGUCAUUCACAUCCAUAGGAGGAAGUCUGAUUUUAGAGUGCUACAUGAAAGGACUGAGCCACACCACUCUUCUCAAGAAAACACUGGAUUCCACCAAUUCUACAUAGCUUAUCAAUCCACUACUGCAACUUCAGUGUGUCCACUUGGGUGCUUAUCUUGAAGAUGGAUAAGUCUCCAUAAUUUUGAAAGAAGUUUUUGUGAGAGAUGUUCCUGAAAGUGCUUAUCAUGAAGAGGGAUAAACCUCCAUAAUUUUGAAAGUUUUUGUGAGAGAUGUUCCUAAAGGCAUAUAUACAUGUUCCUUUCAUACAUAAAGAUAGAAUAUCUGCUGGAAGUUGCUAUAAAUAUUAAAUAAAAUUUACUAAACCAUA